UAGGGAAUCUUCGGCAAUGGACGAAAGUCUGACCGAGCAACGCCGCGUGAGUGAAGAAGGUUUUCGGAUCGUAAAACUCUGUUGUUAGAGAAGAACAAGGACGUUAGUAACUGAACGUCCCCUGACGGUAUCUAACCAGAAAGCCACGGCUAACUACGUGCCAGCAGCCGCGGUAAUACGUAGGUGGCAAGCGUUGUCCGGAUUUAUUGGGCGUAAAGCGAGCGCAGGCGGUUUCUUAAGUCUGAUGUGAAAGCCCCCGACUCAACCGGGGAGGGUCAUUGGAAACUGGGGGACUUGAGUGCAGAAGAGGAGAGUGGAAUUCCAUGUGUAGCGGUGAAAUGCGUAGAUAUAUGGAGGAACACCAGUGGCGAAGGCGGCUCUCUGGUCUGUAACUGACGCUGAGGCUCGAAAGCGUGGGGAGCAAACAGG
rnacentral:rRNA from 1 species